UUUAACCGAUUAGGCCGAGUAUAAUGUGACUUUGGUCGAAUAUCACAUUUAGGUGAUUAAUCAGACAUCUUGCAUCCCAUCGCAUGCAUUCAUUUAGAUUUAGAGAGCCUGAAAUAGUUUAUGAUAAAUUGACACAAUUUAUUAAAAUUCGUGUCACGUAUGAUGUAUAAGUGGUGAGCCCUCUAACAAGGGUAGAGAGAUUGUGUCCGAAGAUCGGGAAUAUGAGUAUAUCGAACUCCUAGUACUGCUCAGAGUAGGCUGUAGAUAGCUGAUUCCAUCGAGAGCUUCCAUUGGACUUGCGUCCUCCGAAUUGUAGGUUCACCGUUUUCCUCACUUCUAGUCAUUCGUGGGCCCGCUUGAUAUUGUAAAUUAAAUUAAAUUAAUUUAAAUGCAUUGGUUUAAUGUGUCACAGUAUGAAUGAAAUUAUUUUGCUUUUA